rnacentral:rRNA from 1 species
UUUCCAGAGAUGGAUUGGUGCCUUCGGGAACUGUGAGACAGGUGCUGCAUGGCUGUCGUCAGCUCGUGUUGUGAAAUGUUGGGUUAAGUCCCGCAACGAGCGCAACCCUUAUCCUUUGUUGCCAGCGGUUAGGCCGGGAACUCAAAGGAGACUGCCAGUGAUAAACUGGAGGAAGGUGGGGAUGACGUCAAGUCAUCAUGGCCCUUACGACCAGGGCUACACACGUGCUACAAUGGCGCAUACAAAGAGAAGCGACCUCGCGAGAGCAAGCGGACCUCAUAAAGUGCGUCGUAGUCCGGAUUGGAGUCUGCAACUCGACUCCAUGAAGUCGGAAUCGCUAGUAAUCGUGGAUCAGAAUGCCACGGUGAAUACGUUCCCGGGUCUUGUACACACCGCCCGUCACACCAUGGGAGUGGGUUGCAAAAGAAGUAGGUAGCUUAACCUUCGGGAGGGCGCUUACCACUUUGUGAUUCAUGACUGGGGUGAAGUCGUAACAAGGUAACCGUAGGGGAACCUGCGGUUGGAUCACCUCCUUACCUUAAAGAAGC